rnacentral:lncRNA from 1 species
AUCCCGGCACGUGAUGACGUAGGACGUAAGGACGCCCCCCCCCGCCGGUAGCCAUCUUCGUGCAUAGGCAAACUUAUUGUAGCUAGACUGUACAAAGUAUAUCAAGAUAUGCCAAAUAUUGAGCUUAACUUCACCUGUUUGAGAGACGGUGUUUCUUUUAGCUUGCAACACCAUGAAAAAAUUACUGAGACACUAGGAAUGCUGUGAACUGAGAAAGUUUGGGACCUUUGGCAUAACUAAAUCCUUCAUUUAACAGUGUUGUGAACCACUUGUCAUGGGAUAACCAAAAUUAAACCUGGAAUCGCAGAAGAAACAAAUUUUUUGAAGAAAUUGGAUGUACUUUUUUAAAAUUUUUCAUUCAACUAAAACUUUGUUAACUGUUUCUUGGUUGUGGUCUUCUCUAAAUUGUAAUCUUUGGCAUUCACUUCCAAAGUAUCCACCACUAAACUUCAUAACAUUUAUUGUGUCUCUUCAUCAUUAAACUUUGAUGAAUUUA